rnacentral:lncRNA from 1 species
AGGGUAGACAAAAGCUUGAUAUCAAGCUAGAAGUGAUAAUCUUCUUUCUAGAAGCUAGCAUAUGCAUUUCAUUAUUAUCUCAUAUGAAUACAACUAAACCCUUCAUUCCUGCAACUAGCUUAAAAAUUGUAUUCUUGAAAUUGCUGCUUGAAAUUUCUAUUAGUGAUUCCAUAGUUGUAAAUGGUACUAGGAUGAUGAUGAUGAUAUAAGAUUUUUACAAUUAAUUAUUGAGGUGCAUGAUUUCUUGAUUGUGGGAGGAUGGUAGUCAUUGUUUAUCCAUCUGUGAGAGAUGUUGCUAACAUGAUUUCAUAUGUUGGUUGUGUGCUGGCUGUGGAGCAUAAUUAGAGAUUUAUUAUUUUUAUUUGUGAAUAAGAACACAAGAUGUGCAAGUUGCUUUUUUUUACACAUUGUAAAUGCUCAGAUAUGUGUGAUUCCAGCAAACUUAUGACUGAACUUACAUUUGUUUUCUGAGAUUUUUUUCACAGAUUGGUAAGUAUAAAGUAUAUAAAGUAUUUUUAUUUGGAUUCAUAGAUUAAUCGGCUACCUUCUAUCGGAAUGAGCUGUGGUGUCACUUAUUUUUGUGUGUUCCAACAUAGUGUAUUCAUUCGGAGAUGCCUCUUGAGGGAUGUCGCUGCGCAGCCCCUGGCCUGCAACCCAGUUACCCGGCCUCCUACACGUGAGGUAAGGCUAGCCUUUAGUCCUUGUUAAUGUAAUUGUGCAUAGAUUUGCUGAGCCAGGAAGCUAAUCAAUUCUAAUCCAUUCAGAGAGAGCUGGUGGUAUCUAACUAUUGAUUUGUCCUUUCAGAAUCAACAGUUCA